rnacentral:rRNA from 1 species
GAUGAACGCUGGCGGCGUGCCUAAUACAUGCAAGUCGAGCGAACGGACGAGAAGCUUGCUUCUCUGAUGUUAGCGGCGGACGGGUGAGUAACACGUGGAUAACCUACCUAUAAGACUGGGAUAACUUCGGGAAACCGGAGCUAAUACCGGAUAAUAUUUUGAACCGCAUGGUUCAAAAGUGAAAGACGGUCUUGCUGUCACUUAUAGAUGGAUCCGCGCUGCAUUAGCUAGUUGGUAAGGUAACGGCUUACCAAGGCAACGAUGCAUAGCCGACCUGAGAGGGUGAUCGGCCACACGGGAACUGAGAAACGGUCCAGACUCCUACGGGAGGCAGCAGUAGGGAAUCUUCCGCAAUGGGCGAAAGCCUGACGGAGCAACGCCGCGUGAGUGAUGAAGGUCUUCGGAUCGUAAAACUCUGUUAUUAGGGAAGAACAUAUGUGUAAGUAACUGUGCACAUCUUGACGGUACCUAAUCAGAAAGCCACGGCUAACUACGUG